GAUAAGCGCAAGAAGAUGGAUGGAUGUUAAGAAGUACUUUGUUAAACUGCUCUGUGGACCUCACAGCGCUAAAAGGAAGCCUUCAGCCCUCCAGUUGGUGUGUUUUGACCACGUACUGUAUGUGCCCAUCGGUCUUUGUGGUUUUACAGUUGAACUGGCAGUUAGGAACCGACGUGAACUUUGAGGCCUGCCUGUGUGUAAACUGUGUUUUUUAUAUCCCAGAGAGGACGGUCUGGAUGUGCUGUGUAUGUGGAGUGGAAAACAGAAUAAACUCUACAGACAACAUUAAA